rnacentral:rRNA from 1 species
UAAUACGUAGGGGGCAAGCGUUGUCCGGAUUCACUGGGCGUAAAGCGCGCGCAGGCGGUCUCUCACGUCCGGGGUGAAAGCCCAGAGCUCAACUCUGGGAUUGCCUUGGAUACGGGGAGACUUGAGGAUCGGAGAGGCAAGGGGAAUUCCACGUGUAGCGGUGAAAUGCGUAGAGAUGUGGAGGAACACCUGUGGCGAAGGCGCCUUGCUGGCCGAUUUCUGACGCUGAGGCGCGAAAGCGUGGGGAGCAAACAGGAUUAGAUACCCUGGUAGUCCACGCCGUAAACGAUGAGUGCUAGGUGUUAGGGGGCCCACCCCUUAGUGCCGAAGCUAACGCAUUAAGCACUCCGCCUGGGGAGUACGGUCGCAAGACUG